rnacentral:lncRNA from 1 species
AACGUUUAUCCUAUUUUAAAUCUCUACCACAUUUUAACCAUAUUCACGCAUGUGACAAGUUUUUUAGUCCGUACUAGAAAUUUACGAACAUAGCAGGUGUGCCCGCGCGUUGCUACGGGUCAAUAAAAUCACAAACUAUUUAUUUUUAUUUUCUGUGUAGGCAACUCAUGGCACUUUCGAGGUCGGCAUGCGAGUGUGGUGGCGUCAGUUGUAAGAUGGAGUAGGAAAAAUCAUGAAAAAAACUGGAGGAAAAGAAAAUAACGGGCAGUGGCAUAUUGGUUGUAAUUUUAACUGAAGAAAAAAAAAUAACGAGAAGUGGCAUAUUGGUUGUAAUUUUAACGAAGUUAAUCUACGGCGAGUGUGACCGUACCAUCACCACCAAUUCCAAUUUAAUAGACAGUAAUGGAUAAUUUUAAACCUAUGUGGUCUCCAUCCAUUCCUCUACGUAAAUAGUAUCACGAUUUUUGGAAAAUCAAGCUUUGAUAUGCACGGUUGAUGCUUACCUUAACACGAUCGUUUCUAGCCAUCCGAUCACUUACGAUGGACAGUCCAGAUCGAUCGGUGGUACACAGAUCGAGUAAUAGGAACGUGUCGGCCCACGACCGGCCAGCUAACUUUGCCAGAACCGAAAGGGAAAAAUGAAAUCGCA